rnacentral:rRNA from 1 species
GACGAACGCUGGCGGCGUGCUUAACACAUGCAAGUCGAACGGAAAGGCCCUGCUUUUGUGGGGUGCUCGAGUGGCGAACGGGUGAGUAACACGUGAGUAACCUGCCCUUGACUUUGGGAUAACUUCAGGAAACUGGGGCUAAUACCGGAUAGGAGCUCCUGCUGCAUGGUGGGGGUUGGAAAGUUUCGGCGGUUGGGGAUGGACUCGCGGCUUAUCAGCUUGUUGGUGGGGUAGUGGCUUACCAAGGCUUUGACGGGUAGCCGGCCUGAGAGGGUGACCGGCCACAUUGGGACUGAGAUACGGCCCAGACUCCUACGGGAGGCAGCAGUGGGGAAUAUUGCACAAUGGGCGGAAGCCUGAUGCAGCAACGCCGCGUGCGGGAUGACGACCUUCGGGUUGUAAACCGCCUUCGCCUGUGACGAAGCGUGAGUGACGGUAAUGGGUAAAGAAGCACCGGCUAACUACGUG